GUGAGGAAUAUUGGUCAAUGGCCGAAGGGCUGAACCAGCCAAGUCGCGUGAGGGAAGACGGCCCUACGGGUUGUAAACCUCUUUUGCCGGGGAGCAAAGGCGGUCACUGGUGACCGGAUGAGAGUACCCGGAGAAAAAGCAUCGGCUAACUCCGUGCCAGCAGCCGCGGUAAUACGGAGGAUGCGAGCGUUAUCCGGAUUUAUUGGGUUUAAAGGGUGCGCAGGCGGGACGCCAAGUCAGCGGUCAAAUUUCGGGGCUCAACCCCGACCUGCCGUUGAAACUGGCGUCCUCGAGUGGGCGAGAAGUAUGCGGAAUGCGUGGUGUAGCGGUGAAAUGCAUAGAUAUCACGCAGAACUCCGAUUGCGAAGGCAGCAUACCGGCGCCCCACUGACGCUCAUGCACGAAAGCGUGGGUAUCGAACAGGAUUAGAAACCCCUGUAGUCC
rnacentral:rRNA from 1 species